rnacentral:rRNA from 1 species
CCCUUAGAUGUCCUGGGCUGCACGCGCGCUACACUGAUGUGUCCAGUAAGCACCUAACCUCUUCCGAAAGGAACGGGUAACCUUUGCAAAGCACAUCGUGAUGGGGAUAGAUUAUUGCAAUUAUUAGUCUUGAACGAGGAAUUCCUAGUAAGCACAAGUCAUCAGCUUGUGUUGAUUACGUCCCUGCCCAUUGUACACACCGCCCGUCGCUCCUACCGAUUGAAUGUUCCGGUGAGCUCUUCGGACUGCGCGGUCUGCAGUUUCUGCGUUCCGUGCGGAAAGUUGCGCAAACCUUAACAUUUAGAGGAAGGAGAAGUCGUAACA